rnacentral:rRNA from 1 species
AUUGAACGCUAGCGGGGUGCUUUACACAUGCAAGUCGAACGGCAGCGCGGACUUCGGUCUGGCGGCGAGUGGCGAACGGGUGAGUAAUGUAUCGGAACGUGCCCAGUAGCGGGGGAUAACUACGCGAAAGCGUAGCUAAUACCGCAUACGCCCUACGGGGGAAAGGGGGGGAUCGCAAGACCUCUCACUAUUGGAGCGGCCGAUAUCGGAUUAGCUAGUUGGUGAGGUAAAGGCUCACCAAGGCGACGAUCCGUAGCUGGUUUGAGAGGACGACCAGCCACACUGGGACUGAGACACGGCCCAGACUCCUACGGGAGUCAGCAGUGGGGAAUUUUGGACAAUGGGGGCAACCCUGAUCCAGCCAUCCCGCGUGUGCGAUGAAGGCCUUCGGGUUGUAAAGCACUUUUGGCAGGGAAGAAAAGUUUCGGGCUAAUACCCUGGAGCGAUGACGGUACCUGCAGAAUAAGCACCGGCUAACUACGUGCCAGCCGCCGCGGUAA